AUGAUGAAGGUCUUAGGAUUGUAAAAUUCUUUCACCGAGGACGAUAAUGACGGUACUCGGAGAAGAAGCCCCGGCUAACUUCGUGCCAGCAGCCGCGGUAAUACGAAGGGGGCUAGCGUUGCUCGGAAUUACUGGGCGUAAAGGGAGCGUAGGCGGAUAGUUUAGUCAGAGGUGAAAGCCCAGGGCUCAACCUUGGAAUUGCCUUUGAUACUGGCUAUCUUGAGUACGGAAGAGGUAUGUGGAACUCCGAGUGUAGAGGUGAAAUUCGUAGAUAUUCGGAAGAACACCAGUGGCGAAGGCGACAUACUGGUCCGUUACUGACGCUGAGGCUCGAAAGCGUGGGGAGCAAACAGGAUUAGAUACCCUGGUAGUCCACGCUGUAAACGAUGAGUGCUAGUUGUCGGCAUGCAUGCAUGUCGGUGACGCAGCUAACGCAU
rnacentral:rRNA from 1 species